AUGCAGUUUGACAUCAGCCGGCCGGCGAGGGCGCGCCUGGAGCCGGAGCACGUGCCAGGAUGUUUUAUUGCCGCCGCGGCUGCGGCCGGGCCGGGAGGAUGUGUGUGUGCGUGCGUGUGUGAGUGUGUGUGCGCGCGCCCCGGGGGCAGGGAGGCGGGGGGCGGCGGCGGGCGGCGGAGCGCGGGGGCUGGUUCUCGGUCCCCGGGAGAAGCCAAGAAGGUAAAUAGCAGCUGCUGUGCUCGAGCCUGGGAAAACCCCGCCCCCUGCGCCUGGCCGGGGCUCAUUGGCGCGCGCUGCGUGUGGGGUGUGUGUGUGUGUGUCCGGGGCCCCCUCCUCCGGCCCCCGCCGCGCCAGGAAUCCGAGGGGGCGGCGGGCUGGGAGCCGAGCCCCGGCGCUUACCACCGCCCCCCGCCUUUCCCCGGCCAAGCCUGCCAGAGCCGAGGUAGCUGCCCUGCCAAGAGCUAUCCUGGGAGAGCUAUUGAAAGAGCCUUGAGUAAGUACACACGGGGCGGAUUUCUCCUCCCCUCAGUACCUGCUCCGCACCUGUACAGGGAACAGUCCCACACAUAUCACCUGAUCGCAGGCUUUUCAGAGACCGUGAGAAAAAUAAAGCCCAGGAUAGAAGAGAUGUUUGUUGUCUCUCUGGAGCUGCAGCCAGCUCCCUGCGGUCUGCGUCCCAGAAACAGCACAUUCCCCGCCGAUUGUGCGGCGGUGCACGCGUGUUUGCCGGCGCGCGUGCCCAGUGGGGAGGGGCGGGAGGGAAGCCAGGGAUCACCUGCCUGAUGACUGCCUCGCUGCCUGCGUGUUCUGGCAUCUGCCUGACGGGCAGUUUCAUGAUCCUUUACUAGAAUCAUUAUUGUGUGGUCCUUCUACUAGGUAAGCGUCCAUAUAUGCCCAUCACAGCAAAAUUCACAACCAGGAUUUCUUACCUUAAGAAGAACCCCCUAAGCUGAACCUAAAACAAUGCCCGAAAUGGAAUUCCGAAUGAAGCCUACAUGCACCUUUGGCAGUAGCUUAAUAUAUACUUUUUUGAAUGAAUGGAUCAAUGAAUGAGUGCAUGAUUUCUUCCUCAGGGGAGGGCCCAUAGCUUUCAGCAAAAUUUCAGAGCUUCCCGUGACCCUGAAAGGCGGAGGAAACUGAUCUAGACAAUCUCCACUUACAAGUCUGUACCUAAGCCCAGAGAGGGCAUGGGACUGGCUUAAGGGCCUACAGCAACGUAUGACCAGAGUGGGGGCCAGAAGCUGACUCAGAAGCCUUUACCACACCACAGUGCUGCGGUCCAUGGGAAAUCUGGGGUGGGGGUUAUGGAGUUGUGAUCACCAACCACCAAAGCCUGGAUUUAAAGUGAUUAGGGGCACCUGGGUGGCUCAGCGGGUUGGGUGUCUGACUUUGACUCAUGAUCUCUUGGUUCAUGGGUUCGAGCCCCAUGUCUGGCUGUGCCGACAGCUCAGUCCUGGAGCCUGCUUCGGAUUCUGUGUCUCCCUCUCUCUGCCUCUCCUCCCGCUCAUGCUCUCUCUCUCUCUCUGUCUCUCUCUCAAAAAUAAACAUUCAGAAGAUUUUGGAGAAAAAAAAAAU
ensembl:lncRNA